rnacentral:lncRNA from 1 species
AACUAGGGCCUGUAGGACCUGCCUUGUUGAUAGUGUUGUUAAGAAGGUAGAAACUAGGGCCUGUAGGACCUGCCUUGUUGAUAGUGUUGUUAAGAAGGUAGAAACUAGGGCCUGUAGGACCUGCCUUGUUGAUAGUGUUGUUAAGAAGGUAGAAACUAGGGCCUGUAGGACCUGCCUUGUUGAUAGUGUUGUUAAGAAGGUAGAAACUAGGGCCUGUAGGACCUGCCUUGUUGGUAGUGUUGUUAAGAAGGUAGAAACUAGGGCCUGUAGGACCUGCCUUGUUGAUAGUGUUGUUAAGAAGGCAGAGCAGUGCUUUAUUAUAGACAGACUUCUCCCCAUCUUAGCUACUGUUGUAUCAAUAUGUUUUGACCAGGACAGUUUACAAUCCAGGGUUACUCCAAGCAGUUUAGUCACCUCAACUUGCUCAAUUUCCACAUUAUUUAUUACAAGAUUUAGUUGAGUUUUAGGGUUUAGUGAAAGAUUUGUCCCAAAU